rnacentral:rRNA from 1 species
GAUGAACGCUGGCGGCGUGCCUAAUACAUGCAAGUCGAGCGAACAGACGAGGAGCUUGCUCCUCUGACGUUAGCGGCGGACGGGUGAGUAACACGUGGAUAACCUACCUAUAAGACUGGGGUAACUUCGGGAAACCGGAGCUAAUACCGGAUAAUAUAUUGAACCGCAUGGUUCAAUAGUGAAAGACGGUUUUGCUGUCACUUAUAGAUGGAUCCGCGCCGCAUUAGCUAGUUGGUAAGGUAACGGCUUACCAAGGCAACGAUGCGUAGCCGACCUGAGAGGGUGAUCGCCCACACUGGAACUGAGACACGGUCCAGACUCCUACGGGAGGCAGCAGUAGGGAAUCUUCCGCAAUGGGCGAAAGCCUGACGGAGCAACGCCGCGUGAGUGAUGAAGGUCUUCGGAUCGUAAAACUCUGUUAUUAGGGAAGAACAAAUGUGUAAGUAACUAUGCACGUCUUGACGGUACCUAAUCAGAAAGCCACGGCUAACUACGUG